rnacentral:lncRNA from 1 species
ACUCUCAAUACACCAUCCUUCUUGGCCUUAAUCCUCCCUCCUUCCCUCUGCUGGUGUUCCCGCCUCCAUCGCUGACCCGUCGCUGAUUUUUACUUCCACGUCCUACUUCCCUUAUUCAUUUCCUCAGAAUGUUUUUUAUUUUUUUGCUUGUUUGUUUUUUUUUUUGAGACAAGUCUUGCUCUGUCACACAGGCUGGAGUCCAGUGGUACGAUCUCGGCUCAUUGCAACCUCCACCUCCAGGGUUCAAGCGAUUCUCCUGCUUCAGCCUCCUGAGUAGCUGGGAUUACAGACCUCACUUUCCUUUUGCUGGCCAGAAAUCUGCUCCCAGCAUGUGGCUGUGCUGGAGUCUCUCUGAAUCUGCUGUGAUUAUGGGGGCUGCCAGACUCAGGAAUCGUUCAUUGUUAAACUCCUUUAAAUUUAA